ACUCUCUUCCUCUCAAGAACUCUCUCUCUCUCUCUCUCUCUCUCUCUCUCUCUCUCUCUCAUCUUCUGCAUCUCUUACGACAUCACUCUCUGAUCACGAAAAGGCUGCUAGUUAGUUUGGGGUUUGACGCUAAUCUUCAGUUCGAGGCUACAGCGGAGAUGGAGUUCGGGUCGUUCGGUGAUGCACCGUCGACAUCGAGUCGAGUGGUAGAACCCGACAUGCAAGAUCGUCGUUCCUCGUCUCUUGUCGUUCUGAGGUAAAAACCCAAGAACCCAUCAAUUUUGGAUUUUGGUUUUAAGAGAAGUUGGGUUCUGAUUGUUGUUGACAAUUUGGCUGCUGGUGACGACGAUGCCGGAAUCGAUUGCGUAUGCUCCCUUGUUCGUGAGCUUUGAGGCAGAAGACCCAGACCUCUUUAAGUUGUAAGUAUAUGUCUGGGAACCUAUCUUGUGUUUUUAAGCUUGGAUUAUUAAAGAAAUAAGUUUGAUAUUGGGUUUUUGAAUUUGGAUUUUGGCUUUCGGUGAUGACGGGAAACCGGAACUUAAUUGGGUUGAGAAGCAAUAUAAGGAUUUUCCAUUAAGUCAGAAUUGAGAAGGAUGCAGAGCGUUGGACGAUGAAGGUAACAGAGAAGGAAACAGAAAAAGAGUAGAGAAUGUUCAGUUGCUUGGUCCAACAACGCAGCAGGAAGAAAGAGUUUAAAAUAAAGAAUUUAUAAGUUACUGAGAUUGUAAGCAAUGGUGGUGUUUGCCAAACAUUGUGGAGUAAAGGUUCGAACUCCAGGAAUAUCAGGUAGGGGAUUCAGGACUCUCCUCGAUUAGUGGCUUUCAUAUAUAACGUAUAUACAAUGGUGAUUGCAUGGCUAUGGUUAUUUCCUUAUGAAUUUAAAGAUUUUGAUAUUUUAUUGCCAUGCUUGUUUUCAAUUGUUUUCAAUAUUGUGUGAUGACCUGAGAUUGAGCGGAGCAUAGCGACUACCUUGGGUUUCGAUCCCCUAAACCUUCGGAGGAGCUGUAUGGACGGGAUGGUGUCUUACACAUCCUUCGAGGUGUGGCACCACUUCUAGGUGAUACGGCAUAAACGGACACUCUCGCUACUUUUUGCCGGUUAUGAUGUAAAUCUUGGUAAGGGUGUAGUUGGCAUAGUGACCGGUCAUCAGGUUUGUGUUUUCUGGGCCCGCAAAUGUUUCUGAAACAAAAUCUAUGCCUUGUGAUUUGAUAUCUAUUUUUAUCCAUGUACGUAGUUUUCACAUACUGGCUAGUAAAUUAAAUAGUUUUUAAACCUAGUUGGGUUGAGUCCUUAUUGAGCAGCGAGGACGAAAGCUCACCCCUACAACAGCUUUGGAUGCAGGUACUGUGCACAACAACGGAAGAGAGCUGAAUCAAGCGGGAUGUGCAUAAUUGUUCAAUGUUAAGUGUCUUUGAAACUUUGUUAUCUCAUGUAAGGUUUCCAUUUCAUAUCCUUGUGUUUGGUACAUUUUUUUUUGUAUUAUUGGAAACCUUACUCGAAGUUGUUUGUCUUCCAAUUGCCUUAUUCUUUGACCAUUUACCUACACCGUCAAUGAGCCAUGUUUUAGAUAGUAUCAAAUGUCAUUUUGGAUUGUACUUCCAUACUAGUUUUGCCUUGUGGUUUAGGGUUUAGAGCUUAACUUCAAAGAAAGUUAAAUUGAUUUCUUUACACGUUUUACACCUCAAAAAAAGUUUACGCUUCCGGCUUCGAUUUUGAGCUCAAACUCUAGUGAAAACUAUGGCUUGUUUUAAAUAAAACGCCUUGCUGUUCUUUAAGAUGUGAGUUGGAUGAUCUGGCUUAUGUUUUAGAGACUCGCGGCACUGUAAUGUAUUCAAACUGGUGAGGUGCAGUUUGGGGCGUUACAUUGAGGUCCAUGAAGACCUUUUGUUACUAUAUGUGCUUAGAUGAUCAAUUUCACCAGCAGCGUUUGCAAUGGCUCUAUCCUAUACUCAGCUUCAGUAUAGCUUCUUGAAAACAUUUCACCAGCAGUAUUGCUAGGCUCCAACUAACUUCUGUAUAAAUCCCAUAAUUCACCUUCACAUUUGAAUAAUUGAGUGUGUGGAAGAUGUGGAGUAGGAAAGGGAAUGCAGGAAGACAUACCUGCUUUUGACACUAGACCAGUGGCAUACUUCUGCUGAUUAAUAAAAAUACCAUAUAUGCUUCCGGUAUUCAACUUGUAGACCAAGAAAGUAAGUCAAGUGCCCCAUAGCUUUCAUUUAUCAUAUACACUGCUUAUAUCAUCAAUCACUAGCUGAACUAAGUCUUGCAUUAGAACCUGUGAUAAUGAUAUCAUCUACAUACAUAGUAGAAUAACGACACCAGUUGAAUCUUUUUCCACAAACAAACUAGUAUCAGAAUGUAAAGCUUUAUUUCAAGAGCUGGAAGAUAUCCUGUGAACUUUUCAUUCAUUCCACGCACGUGGAGCUUGCUAUUUGUCCAUAUAAGGAUUUCUGGAGUUUGUAUAAAUAUUGUGGAUUAUCACCAUCAAGAAAGCCUCUUAAGUUUUUUCAUGCAUCUAAAUCUCCCUUCUAAAUUCCCAUAAAGAAAUGUAUUUUUCACUUAAAGUUAUCAUAAUGUCAAACCAUUUGUAGCUGCUAAAGCAAUAACCAUCCUCAUUUUUGUAUGUCUGACAACUGGGCUAAAGGUUUCGUCAAAGUCAAGACCUUUGUUGACGGAAACCUUGAGCCACCAAGCUGGCUUUGUAUUUUGACACAAUCCCAUCAAUCUGGUUUUUCCUUUAUCUUGUUGACCCACUUGCACCGUAAAAAGUUUCUAUCAGCCUGCCUGGAGGUGGAACAAGUAUCCAAGUACCCUGUGUUUGUAAGGCUUGAAUUUCCUUAAGCGUUAUCUGUUUCCAUUCUGGUUUAGUAGCUGCGGCCUUAUAGCAAGAAGGCUCAACUGAGUCCCUCAUAUCAGAAAUUAAUGCUGGUGAAACCAAAGUAAUAUGAAUAUUCAUCAUAUUUCUGCUGGUGAAUCACACUAAAGAGACAGUGAUUAUAUUCAAACUUAUAGUGUUUGUCUCUUUUACAACACCAUUGAUCCUCAUGUCUUGGGACUUGUUCUCA